rnacentral:lncRNA from 1 species
AGCAGACGUAGGCGGCCAAUGGCACCGCUCCUUCUUCUGAGUAUGGGUUCCCAGGAUUCUGAGCUUCACUUUCUAACCAAAUUCUGCCAGCAGCGGGUGAGACGAGUCCAGGAACAUCUCAAAGGGCCACACAUCAACAUCACAUCUCCAAGUGCAGGUUCCGACUCCAGGUCACCAGGGAGUGCAAAAACAGGGCGCGUGUCAUCACUCCAAGCUGUUACAGGGACGCUUACCUUCCCAGGUAGCUGCAAGUCUGCCCCACGUGCAGGACUCUUCCAGAAGCCCCAAGCUCCUCCUCGCUAACCACACAUGAGAAUGACCUGCUCGGGAAAGCGUCGGAAAAAUCUCACCAAUGCACGUGACAGUUCCCUUUCCUCUCCCUGUGCAGAUCUGCUUCCCAAACUUCACUUGAAACCCGUGCAUUUCAGAUAAAAUCCGCCAAGGAGCAUUGUGGUUUCCCACUUGCAUUUUGUCCGACACUGCCCAUGAUAACUUCUGUGAUAACCACGAAAGACGACCCCACACGGAGCCGUGGAGUUAGGUGAAAGCCUGUCUGGUGCAAUAAUGCUCAGGUCCCCAUAAAGGACAGACCUGCCUUGCUGUGCCAAACCUGUUCAGCUAAUAGAGACUUGGCGCUGGUAAAAGUUUCUCUCAUGAACUUCAAAGUUUUCCAACCCUUCUUGGACUUGAGGGCCCUCCGGUUUCAUUUAUCAGAAAGGGAGCCCCAUAAAAUCCCAUGCAAGGAUCAACAGCUUAGGACAAGGGGGAGAGGGUGUCGGUGCGGGAAAGGGCACCCGGAGGGCUGAUGGGAAGGGGUGGGGAGGGAAGCCGCCAAAGAAGCAGACUUUGGGACACAGGAGAGGAGAGCUACAGGUAGGAGGGGGAGGUCUCCUGCAACACAGAUGUGCUCCCAUCCCAUGGGGACUUGUGCAGCUGUUCAGCCUGAAUUAAGUCCUGCCAGGGGUGGAUCAGAUGUCUCAUCCUUCCAAAACUAAGAUCACAUUAAGGAGGUUUUCUAACAAAGGUUAAAAAUAAACACUGCAUACUGUGUCUUAUGGCUUGUACCCAGAUGCCCCCCCAAACCUCAAGCAGUAAUAGGUGGGGCUUUUCAGAGGUGGCUGGAUUUACUGUGUGAAUGUGGAUUAAGGGCGUGGAUGUUGGAAGCACCAUUGUAGGUGUGGGUGGCACGAUCACCAGGCUUGUCACCUGAAUGGAAUACAAAGGGACGGAGAGAAGGCAGGCUUGGUGGUGCUGCCGCUGCCGCCUCCCGCCUGCUUGCUAUGAGCUGUUUCUCCUCUGUGACGCCCCUCUGCCGUGCCUUCCUGCCUUAGAGGCAGUUGACUGUGG